rnacentral:rRNA from 1 species
UUCCAGGCCAUACGGGGCGCAGCAGGCGCGAAAACUUUACAAUGCGGGCAACCGUGAUAAGGGAACCUCGAGUGCCUGUACAUGCAGGCUGUCUGGGUGUCUAAAACACACCCAAAGAAAGGGCCUGGGCAAGACCGGUGCCAGCCGCCGCGGUAAUACCGGCGGCUCGAGUGGUGGCCACUUUUAUUGGGCUUAAAGCGUUCGUAGCUGGGUUGUUAAGUCUCUUGGGAAAUCUGGCAGCUUAACUGUCAGGCGUCUAAGAGAUACUGGCAAUCUAGGAACCGGGAGAGGUGAGGGGUACUUCGGGGGUAGGAGUGAAAUCCUGUAAUCCUCGAGGGACCACCUGUGGCGAAGGCGCCUCACCAGAACGGCUUCGACAGUGAGGGACGAAAGCUGGGGGAGCAAACCGGAUUAGAUACCCGGGUAGUCCCAGCCGUAAACGAUGCGCGUUAGGUGUGUCGAUGACCACGAGUCAUCGAGGUGCCGAAGGGAAACCGUGAAACGCGCCGCCUGGGAAGUACGGUCGCAAGGCUGAAACUUAAAGGAAUUGGCGGGGGAGA